rnacentral:lncRNA from 1 species
AAGUCUGAAAUGUUGGAGUCUGUUAUGGAGUACUAGCAUGUUGCUGUGGCGAAGUAUGGUGGUAUGGGAAAUAAAGUCUUGAGGAAUUGGUGAUAGUUAAGGUAAAGGGUAAAGGUUUUCCCCUGACAUUAAAUCCAUUAUAAAUGGGUUAUAUAGCUGUGUGGAAGGGCCUUGAAUCUACACUGCCAUAUAAUCCAGUUCAAAUCUGAUAAUCUGUAUUUUAUAGGCAGUGUGGAAGAGGCCUAAGUGAGGUCUAACUCUGCCUGUCCCCUGGGCUGAGUGGGUUGCAAGGAGACCAAGUGAGCGGAGCUUAGCCUUCUAACUGGCAGCAAUUGGAUAAAAACAAUUAUUCCUUCUCCCUCUAAUUAGGACUUUAUUUUUCUUUUCUUUUUGUUGUAUGCAUGGAUGAGGGGUUGUACUACCAAGUUUAAUGUUUCUGGGAUGUGUAGUUUUGUUGUUUUGUCCUAGGCCGAAAUUUCAUUACCCUUUUAUAUAUAGAUAGAUGAAGCGGAUAGGACAGAGCAUGGAGAGUAAACCAGCAAGUUAAUUUCCUUUUAAUGCAGCUUUUCACAAAAAAAAAAAUACAGAACUCCUCAUGCCUCUGGUCUUGGGAAGACAUGCCAAUGAGCCUGGCAUUUCUCUAUUAUUUGGUCCUCAAUCUCAGGGUGCAUCUACACUGUAGAAUUAAUGCAGUUUGACACCAUUUGAACUUCCACGACCCAAUGCUAUAGCAUCCCAAGAUUUGUAAUUUGACAAGACAGCAGCACUCUUUAACCAAGGAGGCUAAAAACCCUGCAAACCUACAGCAGCCCCAAUUAUGUUAUUGUUUUGCUGUAAGCCGCUCUGAGUCUGAUUUAUUCAGAUGCCGUGAGUCCCAAGGCUGGGGGAAAUGUGAAGAUUUAACUAAGCAAUUAAUUAAUUGCAAUGACAAUCGUUUUUCUUAGAGGUUUCCUUGGUUCGUAAAUGAUUUCCCCUCAUGACUUUUUGCAAAUAAACUUCAAAAUGGCUCCUUAUCAAAGUUGCAGAUGUCACCAAAUUUCGAGAGAUAGUUAAUACUCAAGAGGACAGGAUCAUAAUUCAAAAUGACCUUAAGAGAUUAGCGAGCUCAGCUAAAGCUAACACAAUGAAUUUCAACAAGGACAAAUGUAAAACCUUGGAGUCUUCAGGGACAAUAAGGUGACCAUGAGCAAAAAAGCUAAAAAAGCCAAUGAGUGGUG